AUUGAACGCUGACGGCAUGCUUUACACAUGCAAGUCGAACGGUAACAGGUCUUUCGGGAUGCUGACGAGUGGCGAACGGGUGAGUAAUGUAUCGGAACGUGCCCAGUAGUGGGGGAUAACUACUCGAAAGAGUGGCUAAUACCGCAUGAGAUCUCUGGAUGAAAGCGGGGGACCGUAAGGCCUCGCGCUACUGGAGCGGCCGAUAUCAGAUUAGGUUGUUGGUGAGGUAAAGGCUCACCAAGCCGACGAUCUGUAGCUGGUCUGAGAGGACGACCAGCCACACUGGAACUGAGACACGGUCCAGACUCCUACGGGAGGCAGCAGUGGGGAAUUUUGGACAAUGGGCGCAAGCCUGAUCCAGCCAUGCCGCGUGAGUGAAGAAGGCCU
rnacentral:rRNA from 1 species